UAUGGGCAAGCAGCAGCAAAGCCAGUGUGGUAGGAGGACCAGGAGCAGACCAAACUCAUAGAUGAUGAGGCAGGGGAGUGAGUACAGGGCAGAUCAUGUCGGAUCACUGAAGGGACCCUGAUUUUUACUCCAGGUGGAAUUACAAGUUAUUGAAGGGCUGAAGGCACAUGAUCUAACAUAAAUUCACACUGACAAAAGAUAAGUCAUGUAUGUUUGUAAAAUAUGCUCUGACAGAACUGCCAGCAAAGUGUGAUAUGGCCUACAGGAAGGAGAGUCACCAAUGAGGAAAACCCAAGCUCUGAAUGUAGAGAAACAACAGCGCUCAAGGAAAAGGCAGAUGGACAAACUCAAAAACAAGAGGAAACAUAAGCCUUAGAAGCACUAAUAAACGUCUUGGUGGUUGUAUGGCAGUGCAAGGGGAUCCACCAGAAACAGAGUUACUUCAAUGGGCUAGCCAAGCACUAGCUGCCCAGGGGACUAAUUAGGACGCCAAUGGAUGCCAACGGAGUAGUCAAUGUAAGUAAGAAUACCUGCCUUUCCCCCAAAGGUGAAGCUUAUUAGCAGGAAAACAGGAAGUCAGAAAUGAAACUCAAAUGUGGAAAUACUGCAAAAAGAAUAUUAAGAAAGAAAAAAAAAAGUGGCCAAAGGAAAUACCACAGGAUCCAAGCUUCAGUCUCAAAGAGCCUGAGAGAGGAGCUAGAGCUUGCUCCACACCCACAUUGUGAAACAGGUGGGGAGGGAGUCAGGCUAAAGAAAUGAAAUCUCUCUAGAUGUAAACUGAAAAAGGUUAGCAGCUUAUAAACAUGCCCCCAUGGAUAAACAAGGUUAGCUGGGUGAACACAGCUCUGUGCUGGAUAAUCCAAGAUAAAGUUGGGCAUCCUUGUUUUUUUUUUCAUCCCAAGUAUCCUUGUUACUGCAGUUAGGUUUCAACUUAUAAUUGAUGUACCAUAUUGAAGCUGCAAUAAAAGUCUGGAAAAUUAAAUGCUUACCUUCCCCAUCAAAUGUUCCUUGUCCUUUCAGUAUUUUUUUCUAAGAGAAAAACAAAAUGGAGAGAAAAUGUGUGUGAAUAAGCCAAGUAAGUACAGCUAUUUUAAGUCAAAAGCCCCUUUCUGCUAUUUCCCUCAGACUUCCAAAAGCACAUGGCCAAGAAUCCCCAUGGCAGUUAACCACAACAAUAAAAUAAAGUGUAGAGUGUCCCCGUUAAACUAGAGAAAGAAUCCUCAAAUGACCAGUGGUCCCACUCAUUUCACUGUGAUUCACUCUCCUGGUGACUGACUCUCCCUGACAGCUGGGGGGAGGGGCACAUAAAAGUGUUAUGUAAUGUCUUUCCUUUAAGACUGUAUGUCUAAAAUAAA